AUCCUUGCGCUUGGGGCAAUGACGCAGCUAGUGAAGUUAUACCGAGGCGCGUCAAUUGCUGGUUC
rfam:Triticum urartu cultivar G1812 contig754196, whole genome shotgun sequence.